AUCACUUUCUCUUUCUUCCUCUUAUUUUUGCUUCUCUCUUCCUCUACCUCUUCCUUUCUUCUCUUUUUCACUGCCUCUCUCUUCCUCUUCUUUCUUCUCUAUUCUGUCGCCUCUCUUUUCUUUUUCUCUCUUUCUUUUCUUCAACAAAUAUGUUAUUCUUAUCUCUUUUAAUCUACGAAACUCCGACAAUUUUACGGCGAUGAACGGUUUCUCAGUGGCAGAUCUCUGGUGGCGGCAGUGUGUUUCCGACGACGAGCGUGGUGGUUUUGAAAUUUGGAAAACCAACAUUUACUGUUAUGCAUCUGACUUUCAAUGGUGAAGGUGAACGUGAAGAUUAUUCAUGAAAUACGUUUAGAACUUUGGUGAACCAACAUUUACUUUUAAGCUGAACGUGAAGAUUAUUCAUGAAAUGCUUGAACAUGGAGAAUUACUUCGACACCAUGUGAGAUUAUAGAAAUGAUUGAUGAGUAGGAGAGAUGUGCUUCUGACAUGAUUGGAAAGGAAUUUCCAUAUGACGGGGAGAAAAGUCUAUUUACUAUCGGCUCUCUUCCUCAAAAUGAGUUUGAGAUUAUUUUAGAGGAGGCUAGAUCUAAUAGUAAGUAGAUCCUGUUAUAGAGAGGUUGGAUCCCAAACACUGCAUUAUCUACAGGCUAUCAAGGCCUACUACUAUGUAUCUGGAUGGGAAACAUUAUAGAGAUCUUAUAAAACUAAACAGGAAUCCUGCAAAAGUUUUGUAUUUAAGUGGCCAUGCUUUUGAGAGUUGCCUACAACCUGAAAAACGGUGUCCCUAUUAAGCCAUGGCUGCAGACUGACAAUGAUGAUACAAUGCUUGUGGAUUUCAUACCAUUUCUUGAGUGUUGUGGUUGUUCAUGAGUGGAAGUUGCAUUGUCACGGAAUGAACUCGCGUCUGGCCGGCUGUUUGAACAUGACCGAGUGCAUAUGACGCUUUGGUUCUGAACUGGUUUUAUAGGUUAGGCAUGAGACAUCAAAGAAGAUACAUGGUAUGAAGCUUAGUUUCAUGGGAUUACCAAUGUAAUAGCAAUACAUGGUAGCUUGAAUGGUUUUCUUUUGAAGAUCCAUUUGGUGAUUCACCAUUCAAGGCCGAUAGUUCUGUUGAAACUGCUCAAUCUCAACACUAUGCACAUCAGAGUAUUGAACCAUCCCAAUCAGACGGUUUUAAUGCCGAUGCAAUGUCUAAUUUUGGGUUUGGGGACUCAUUUUCUAUUGUAACAUACUCUGCAUCUGCUACUAGUGAUGCCCAACCUUUCUCUGCUAACUCCAACGAAUAUUCUGAAGCUGAAAGUGAGUAUUCUAAAUAUGACAUUAGAAGUGAAGCUGAAUAUGUAUUACAAUGGCUAAGGCUGAUAACUCUGGUUUGCAGAGUGAUGUAUUACAAUGGCCAUUGGAUUGUUAAUUGUCCUUGCUCGAGAAGGUCCUUGCAGAAUUUGACAACAGAAUGUCCAACCGAAUGAGGCGUGAAUCGUUGUGCCGAGGUCGCCAUUUGAAAUCUUUGAUGCUUUGAAGAGCCAAAUUGUUGAUUGGGUCUUAACUGCUCAUCCUACCCAGGCUGUUCGUAGAUCUUUAUUGCAAAAGCAUGGCAAGUUUGUCCCUUACUACCUUGACCGUGAUUGUCUAAAUUCAACUCUGAGGACUGAAAGGAGGAGUUAUAGAGUUGCAGGGAUUGUUUGACACAAUUGUAUGCAAAAGAUAUUGGAGUUGAUUUAGUUUCCAGUCGAUUUGAAUUAGCUAAGAAGUUUGGGGUAAAUGAGUUUGUAAACCCAAAAGAGCAUGACAAACCUGUGCAAAAGGUAAUUGCUGAAAUGAUAAAUGGAGGUGUAGAUCGAGCUGUUAAAUGUACCGGUAGCAUCCAGGCCAUGAUCUCAGCGUUUGAAAGUGUCCAUGAUGAAAAACCUUUGCCUCCUUAGCUGAGAGAUAUGCAGUUGUGACAGAUUAAGUUGUAAGUAUCUCUUUUUAGCACUAUUUCUUAAUGGAAGAGUUAUUAUAACAGUGAUUGAAAAGAUGUUGGUAGAAAUUUAUUUGCUCAUAGUUUAAGAAUAACAGAAAGAAAAGGAUAACAUCGGACUCGUGAGAACUAUCUGUAUGAAAGAUGCACAUUUCAUGCUAAGAUUAUAAAAGUCAUAUAUUAAGUGACUGACUUGUAUGAUUUGGCAAGCGUCACUGCAAUCUGUAGAUUGGCUUGAUUUUAGUGUCUCGGACAGUGAUUUCAAACCGAUCAGAGUUUGAUUUACUAACGAGUAAAGGUCUCUCCUUUUGACGAGAAUGAUGCAUCCAAUCAAUGUCUCUGCCUCAACAGUCCAUAGGGAUCAACUUCCACUUCUCUAUCAUUUUGGUUAUUAACAUGAUUGUUGUAAAGUAAUAUACUAUAUCCAUUAUUAUGAAAAUAUUGCAUGUGAUAUGACUCAUAUAUAUAUAUAUAUAUAUAUAUAUAUAUAUAUAUAUAUAUAUAUAUAUAUAUAUAUAUAUAUAUAUAUAUAUAAUGUCCUGGUAUAAGUUUCUGUUCCAAGCUGUAUUAUGAUGACACCUUAUUCUAAGAAAGAAAGGGAAGAUAAUCUUAUGAAUUAUGAAUACAAUACCUAAAUAAAUUGUUGGAUUUGGAUUGGUCACAAAUUCAGAAUGAGUACAUCAAUAAUUGUUGGAUUGAAAUCAGACAUUGUUGAAAGCAUAUAAUUUUUGUUUUUAAUUUUAAGAAUUUUGAAAUACCAAGCUUGAAAUAUGGACUGUCCAAUCUCAAACCAACUGCUACUGAUGUGUUGAUUGCGAGAAUGCUUUGAACUUAUAACUGCAGCAAAUCCAAAUCAAACUGGUUAUGAGUUGUGGACUGUACCCGAAGGAAAAGUGCUUGAAUAGUUAAGUAUUGGCAAGAUCCUAGACUCUGAAUUGAUAUAUGAAUUAGUUUAUCUGGUUGGUGCAUCAGGUUAUAUGUCUCCAUAAUGUUGAGAUUUUAACAUGAAAAAAAGUCUUUAUGGAAAGGAAACAGUUACAAACAUAGUAUUGUAUAACUGCCAAUUAAAAAAGAAAUGUUUGACACAAUAAUAACCAACAUUUAGGAAUUAUAAUGUUAAAGUCUCACUCUUAUAAAGUGAUUUUAGAAAGUUGUUGAACAAUCAAUAGAAUCUUUUUUUUUUGUUGAUAAUAAUCAAUAGAAUCUUUUAAAAAUAUAAGAAUUUAACUAAGAGUUUAACAACUAAAUAAAGAGUCUUAAAAUAAUAAACAACAUGAAAUUAUUGAA